GUUGCCUAGUCAGAAUUGUCAGACAACUCCGUGGGGAAUAGGAGCUGUCACCGAGCAUCAGCUCACACAGGAGGGGAAGCCAAGGCAGGAGAGAUAAUUUGGGAGAAAGAAAGACAAGUGCAUUCAAGUUACCCUUGACUAUACAGUGAAGUCCAGCCUCAGACUGUCAGCUCACUUAAGAGUUUCAUUUCCAAAUAGUGCUGUGAUGAACGGGGCUAUUGUUUGGCAGGGGGAACUUAAAGCUGGAAAGCAGAAGAGACAGUGGUCUGCUCUUUCACUCCCUGGCCACAGCCCUUUGGGCAUGGGACAGGGAGAGGGAAAAGUGGAGACCAGUGGUUUUCUUAUGAAUAUGGACUAACCUCCAGUGGUAAGGGAUGUCUCCAGGCUCAUGCUGAUUUGACCCAGGCAUAAAUAAAACAUGUUCCUCCUAUUCCACACUAAGAGCCCCUGGAGAAGGGAAUGGCUAUCCAAUAUUCUUGCCUGGAAAAUCCCAUGGACCAGAGGAGCUUGGUGGGUUACAGUCCAUGGGGUCACAACAAGUUGGCCACGACUGAGUAAUGAGCACUUAGAGAAAACAGGGUGAUGUUAUGAAAAAUCAUCCAAAAGACUGCUGAAGAUACAAAGCAAAGCAAAGCAAAGAGGGGCAAAAAAA